rnacentral:rRNA from 1 species
UACGUAGGGACCAAGCGUUGUUCGGAUUUACUGGGCGUAAAGGGCGCGUAGGCGGCAAUUCAAGUCAGUUGUGAAAUCUCCGAGCUUAACUCGGAACGGUCAACUGAUACUGCUUUGCUAGAGUACAGAAGGGGCAAUCGGAAUUCUUGGUGUAGCGGUGAAAUGCGUAGAUAUCAAGAGGAACACCUGAGGUGAAGACGGGUUGCUGGGCUGAUACUGACGCUGAGGCGCGAAAGCUAGGGUAGCGAACGGG